CUCCUACUUCCCCUCCUCCUCCUUUCUCUCCUCCUCCUCCAGCUCCUCCUCCUUCCUCUCCUCCUCCUCUUCCUUCCUCACUUUCUCCUCCUCCUUUUCUUCCUCCUUUCUCUCUUCCUCCUCCUCCUUCUUCCUCUCUUCCUCCUCAUUCCUCCUUUCUCCUCCUGCUCCUUCUCCUCCAUCCUCUCUCUCUUCCUCCUGCUCCUCAGCCUCCCUCUUUUCCUCCUCCUCCCUAUCUUUCUCCUCCUUCUUCCUCUCUUCCUCUUCCUCCUUUCUCUCUUCCUCCUCAUUCCUCCUUCCUCCUCCUGCUCCUUCUCCUCCAUCCUCUUUCUCUUCCUCCUGUUCUUCCUCCUCCCUUUUCCUCCUCCUCUUCCUCCUCCCUUUUCCUCCUCCUCCUCCUUCUUCUCUUUCUCUUCCUCCUGCUCCUCCUCCUCCCUCUUUUCCUCCUCCUCCCUCUCUUCCUCCUCCUCCUUUUUCUCUUCCUCCUCUUCCUUCCUCUCUUACUUCUCCUCCUCCUCCCUGUCCUCCUCCUCCCUCUCCUCCUCCCUGUCCUCCUUUUCCCUCUCCUCCUCCUCCCUCUCCUCCUUUUCCCUCUCCUCCUCCUCCCUCUCCUCCUUUUCUCUCUCCUCCUCCUCCCUCUCCUCCUCCUCCAGCUCCUCCUUUUCUCUCUCCUCCUCCUCCUCCCUCUCCUCCUCCCUCUCCUCCUUUUCCCUCUCCUCCUCCUCCCUCUCCUCCUUUUCUCUCUCCUCCUCCCUCCCCUCCUCCUCCAGCUCCUCCUCCUCCCUCUCCUCCUCCCUGUCCUCCUCCUCCCUCUCCUCCUUUUCUCUCUCUCUCCUCCUCCUCCCUCUCCUCCUCCCUGUCCUCCUUUUCCCUCUCCUCCUCCUCCCUCUCCUCCUUUUCUCUCUCCUCCUUUUCCCUCUCCUCCUCCUCCCUCUCCUCCUUUUCUCUCUCCUCCUCCCUCCCCUCCUCCUCCAGCUCCUCCUCCUCCCUCUCCUCCUCCCUGUCCUCCUCCUCCCUCUCCUCCUUUUCUCUCUCUCUCCUCCUCCUCCCUCUCCUCCUCCCUGUCCUCCUUUUCCCUCUCCUCCUCCUCCCUCUCCUCCUUUUCUCUCUCCUCCUUUUCUCUCUCCUCCUCCUCCCUCCCCUCCUCCUCCCUCUCCUCCUCCUCCCUCUCCUCCUCCUCCCUCCCCUCCUCCUCCCUCCCCUCCUCCUCCCUCUCCUCCUCCUCCCUCCCCUCCUCCUCCCUCCCCUCCUCCUCCCUCCCCUCCUCCUCCCUCCCCUCCUCCUCCCUCUCCUCCUCCUCCCUCCCCUCCUCCUCCCUCUCCUCCUCCUCCCUCCCCUCCUCCUCCCUCCCCUCCUCCUCCCUCCCCUCCUCCUCCCUCUCCUCCUCCUCCCUCUCCUCCUCCUCCCUCCCCUCCUCCUCCCUCCCCUCCUCCUCCCUCUCCUCCUCCUCCCUCUCCUCCUCCUCCCUCUCCUCCUCCUCCUCAUCCUCCCUCUCCUGCUGGGAAGAGCAUUAAAUGGAACUUGAGAUCUUCCCCCCACUAUGCCCAGCCCUUCUUUCUAACUGCCUGUGGAAGAGUAUUUUGUGUUUGCAGUAUUUACCGAAGACUAAAAAUUGGUUUGGAGGCAGCUUCUACCUUCUCUUCUACCUCUCUAGUUAGUGGUAAUUUGGGUGCGAGAAUUGUAGGGCAUAGAUUAGUCUAG
ensembl:lncRNA